rnacentral:tRNA from 1 species
GUGUAGCUCAGUGGUAGAGUGCAUGCUUUGCAUACAUGAAGCCCUAGGUUCAAUUCUCAGCAC